GCUCAACCGAGGAAGUGCUUCGAAAACUGGUAAACUUGAGUGCAGAAGAGGAAAGUGGAACUCCAUGUGUAGCGGUGGAAUGCGUAGAUAUAUGGAAGAACACCAGUGGCGAAGGCGGCUUUCUGGUCUGUAACUGACGCUGAGAUUCGAAAGCAUGGGUAGCAAACAGGAUUAGAUACCCUGGUAGUCCAUGCCGUAAACGAUGAGUGCUAAGUGUUGGUGGGUUUCCGCCCUUCAGUGCUGCAGCUAACGCAUUAAGCACUCCGCCUGGGGAGUACGACCGCAAGGUUGAAACUCAAAGGAAUUGACGGGGGCCCGCACAAGCGGUGGAGCAUGUGGUUUAAUUCGAAGCAACGCGAAGAACCUUACCAGGUCUUGACAUACCAUGAAAAGCUAAGAGAUUAGUCUUUCCCUUCGGGGACAUGGAUACAGGUGGUGCAUGGUUGUCGUCAGCUCGUGUCGUGAGAUGUUGGGUUAAGUCCCGCAACGAGCGCAACCCUUAUUAUCAGUUGCCAGCAUUCAGUUAGGCACUCUGGUGAGACUGCCGGUGACAAACCGUAGGAAGGUGGGGACGACGUCAAAUCAUCAUGCCCCUUAUGACCUGGGCUACACACGUGCUACAAUGGUCGGUACAACG
rnacentral:rRNA from 1 species